ACAUACGACCAUAGUACGAGGACAUGCGCAGGAGCCCAUCUCGAACUCCUCAGCUAAAUCCCGUCACGCACGCUUAGUACUCCGGAGGGGGACCACGGUGGAAUCGCGUGUGUCGUAUGUU
rnacentral:rRNA from 13 species